rnacentral:lncRNA from 1 species
AUAACAUUGCUAUUUGAUUAAUUGUCUAAAUUGUAUAACACUUUUUCACGUGUAGAAAACCAUGUGAGUGGAUUCCUUACUUCUUAUUGGUCAAUGAUCUUGCGGGGUCAGCACAAGUUUACGUGCCAUGUGUGCACUUCCUUUUAUCAUUAACUUUCGUCUUGAUAACUUGUGAUUCUAAAACAUUGCGUGAUAUUUAAAU